rnacentral:rRNA from 1 species
CUUCGGGAUGAUUUGUUGGACGCUAGCGGCGGAUGGGUGAGUAACACGGUGGGCAAUGCUGCCCUAAAGACUGGGAUACCACUUGGAAACAGGUGCUAAUACCGGAUAACAACAUGAAUCGCAUGAUUCAAGUUUGAAAGGCGGCGCAAGCUGUCACUUUAGGAUGAGCCCGCGGCGCAUUAGCUAGUUGGUGGGGUAAAGGCCUACCAAGGCAAUGAUGCGUAGCCGAGUUGAGAGACUGAUCGGCCACAUUGGGACUGAGACACGGCCCAAACUCCUACGGGAGGCAGCAGUAGGGAAUCUUCCACAAUGGACGCAAGUCUGAUGGAGCAACGCCGCGUGAGUGAAGAAGGUCUUCGGAUCGUAAAGCUCUGUUGUUGGUGAAGAAGGAUAGAGGCAGUAACUGGUCUUUAUUUGACGGUAAUCAACCAGAAAGUCACGGCUAACUACGUGCCAGCAGCCGCGGUAAUACGUAGGUGGCAAGCGUUGUCCGGAUUUAUUGGGCGUAAAGCGAGCGCAGGCGGAAUGAUAAGUCUGAUGUGAAAGCCCACGGCUCAACCGUGGAACUGCAUCGGAAACUGUCAUUCUUGAGUGCAGAAGAGGAGAGUGGAACUCCAUGUGUAGCGGUGGAAUGCGUAGAUAUAUGGAAGAACACCAGUGGCGAAGGCGGCUCUCUGGUCUGCAACUGACGCUGAGGCUCGAAAGCAUGGGUAGCGAACAGGAUUAGAUACCCUGGUAGUCCAUGCCGUAAACGAUGAGCGCUAGGUGUUGGGGACUUUCCGGUCCUCAGUGCCGCAGCAAACGCAUUAAGCGCUCCGCCUGGGGAGUACGACCGCAAGGUUGAACUCAAGGAAUUGACGGGGGCCCGCACAAGCGGUGGAGCAUGUGGUUUAAUUCGAAGCAACGCGAAGAACCUUACCAGGUCUUGACAUCCUGCGCUACACCUAGAGAUAGGUGGUUCCCUUCGGACGCAAGACAGGUGGUGCAUGGCUGUCGUCAGCUCGUGUCGUGAGAUGUUGGGGUUAAGUUCCGCACGGAGCGCACCCUUGUCUUUAGUUGCCAUCAUUUAGUUGGGCACUCUAGAGAAGACUGCGGGUGACAACGGAGAAGUGGGGAUGACGUCAGUCAUUCAUUGCCUUUAUGACUGGGCUAACACGUGCUACAUUGGGCAGUUACACCGAG